GGUUCACUUUAAACCUGACACAUUAAAACCACCACCUUCCACUGAAACCAUUCUCUUCCGAGCAGAAGCCGGCGGGCCACAGGGCAAGCCGUGACUGGAAUCCAGGACACUGAGAGAUGGCUGCCCACCGGGUGAUGAGUGACUACGAGCAGUUCCCAGGGAUAAAGAGCCUCUGGUCUGGGACCCCAGCAUCCUACAUCCUCUCACCCGCCACACUUUUAGACACCCUACAAUCAUCCUCUCCAGCUGGCCCCACAGGCCCAGCGUGCUGUGCUUUCCUUUUGCAGAAACUGGCGCUUGCUCCAGGGGCGCUAGCGUGUCCCGACCGAGCUCGAGCUCGUGCAGAGGACCCACAGAAAGGAGUCUGAGCCCAGGUUUCAAAGCUCAAACUCCGUCCACUAGAGCUACUUUAUUUCCUAGCUGCCCUAGAGAAUCCUCAGUAUCCUUUCUGGAAACAAAACGUGAAGCCUACACUGGAAGAGUCAGGGGGGAGUACAAUAGGAAGGAGUCCCACAAGAGCGGCCCGCGGGGGUCUUCACAGACCUGCCUGGCCCCCAGAGGUGACUCCUGUGGCCAGCAGGAGGGGGACCCGGCACCACACAGGCUUAAUGCUGGCGGAUUCCUGGCGGAGGCAGAGAGAACACUGACAACACGGGGGGGAAAUGGUUAUCAAUCAGUUAAUGUCGCCCUGGGUUGCAAAAACCAGACGUGGCUGUGCUCAGCCCUGUUUGUCGUUACCCUGUCGGAAGUGACAGCACGGGAAAGGCGGGCAGCUCCUUGGAUCGCUGAAACUAGGCGCUGUGCUUGCAGAUUGGCUCCCAUAAACCGAGUGAAAGUGUUUCUUGCACAGUGCUGAACAAAACCCUUUGCAAAUGUUACAAGUACAAGAAAAGAAAGAAAGAAAGAAAGAAAGAGGCAAGAUACUUUCAUUCCGAUUUCAGGGCAUGAGGAAUAUCAUCGACAGUAUGUGUUGGGCUGCUGGAGAGAUAUCCCCCAACUAUCUCCCCAUCUGACCGGAACAGGAAUUGGAGAGCUUCAGAGUAAAGGAAUAAUGUGUCCAUGUGUUCCUCCAGAUCUCAGAGUCCUGGCAGCCGACCUCAAGUCUCUUGGCCACCAUAAAGCAGUCAUUGAGAGGACACAGCUGCAGGAAGUAGAGGCUAAGGACUAAAUAAAUCCACAGGGCUGGAGGCACAAGUCAUGUAUGUGACCCUAACACAAUACCUUGUGGUUGUGAAUGAAUGGAUUAGCAUCUCAGGGUGCUGUGACAUCUUAUGCAAAAUUAAUUGGUGCCUCAGCCAGUGUUGAGUUUCUAAUGGAAAGAUGCCCACUUCAGACAUACACAAAUACACCAAGGAGACCUCCUUAGUUGAUGAAAUUUCUGCUGGUAUUGUAGGAAGACUAAGGACCAAAUGGAAUGGGAACUGAGCUGUUUACUCUCUUGGCUCUCUUGGCUGAACAUGGGUUCUCUUCAGAUCAGAGUGAUGUACAACAUCCACCGGCCAUAUCCCAGGACCUGAUCCAGUUCUUGCCAGGUUCUGGGUUGUAUUUUAGAGUUGAGGUGGGAGUAUACAGGAUUUGUUUUCCUGUGUCUGUCUUAUUUCAUCAGGCAUACUGUUCUUCAGAUGCAUCCAUGUUGUCAUAAAAAGGAGGAUUUCCUUCUCUUUUAUGGCUGAAUAAUAUACCACUAUAUACGAAAUAAAAAAUAUAUACAAUAGAAUAUAUUGUGUAUAAUAUAUAAGGGAAUACAUAAUAUAAAUAAUGGAUAAUAUAUGAUAUUGCAUUGUAUAUAUUACAUUUCAUUAGAUAUAGAUAUAGGUAUUUCAUAUUUUGAUAAAGAUUGCAUUGAAUCUAUAGGUUGCCUUGGGUAGUUUGAACAUUUUAACGAUAUUAAUUCUUCCAAUUCAUGAACUAGUGAUAUCUUUCCAUUUAUUUAUGUCUUCUUCAAUUUCUUUCAUCAAUGUCUUAUAGUUUUUAGUGUUCACAUAUUUUUUUCACCUCACUGGUUAAAUUUGUUCCUAAAUAUUUUAUUCUUUUUGGUGUUAUUUUAUGGGAUUGUUUUCUUCAUUUCUUUUUCAGAUAGUCCAAUGUUACUGCAUGGAAACAUAAUUGAUUUCUGUAUGUCGAUUUUGUAUCCUGCAACUUCACUGAAUUUAUUAGCUCUAACAAUCUCUUGGUGGUUUUUAGCAUUUCCUGUGUAUAAUAUCAUGCCAUCUACAAAGAGAGACAGUUUUUCUUUCUGAGUUAGGUGGCUGUUAUUUCUCUGUCUUACCUACUCUGGCUAAGAUGUUCAGCAGUAUGUUGAAUAGAAGUGGUGAGAGUGGGAACAUUUUUCUUGAUCUUGGAGGAUAAGCUUUCAGGUUUUUACCACUGAGUAUGAUGUUACUAGUUGUGGGCUUUGUCAUAUACGGCCUCUAUGCAUGUUGAGGCACAUUCCUUCCAUACUUAAUUUGUUGAGAGUUUUUUAUCAGGAAAGGAGGGUGAACUUUGUCAAAUACUUUUUCUCCACCUAUUGAGAUGAUCACAUGUUUUUUUUCCUUUAUCCUGCAAAUGGAGUAUAUCAUAUUUGACUUGUGUAUAUUGAACCAUCUUUGCAUCUCAGGCAUAAACUCACUUGAUUAUGAUGUAUGAUCCUUUUAAUAUGCUGUUGCAUUUGGUUUGCUAGUGUUUUGCUGAGGAUUUUUGAUUCUAUCUUCAUCAGAUAUACUGGUUUUUAAAUUUUUUUGGUACUGUCCUUAUUUAGCUUUGGUAUGAGGGUAAUGCUGGCCUCAUAACAAGAGUCUGGAAGUAUUUCCAUCUCUUUAAUUUUUUAGAAGAGUCUGGAAAGGAUUGACAUUAACUCUUCAGCAAAAGUUUGGUAGAAUUUACUACCAUGAAAUGGUGAAACCAUCAGGUUGUGGGCUUUUCUUUGUUGGGAGAAUUUUUGAUUACUGCUUCAACUCCUUACUCAUUAUUGGAUGGUUCAGAUUUUCUAUUUCUUCAUGAUUCAAUCUUGAUAGAUAUAUGUUUCCAGGAAUUUAUCCAUUUCUUCUAAGUUGUCUAAUUUGUUGCAUAUAACUGUUCAUAGUAGGCGCCUAUGGUCCUUUAUACUUUUGUGGUAUCAGUUAUAAUGUCUGCUCUUUCAUUUAUAAUUGCAUUUCUAUUUUAUUACAAAAUUAUUUUAUUUAUAUUAAUUUAUUCUUUUUUAUUGGUUUGUCUAGGUAAACGUUUGCUAAUUUUGUUAAUCUUUUCAAAAAACUAACUCAUAGUUUUAUAGCUCUGUUCUACUGUUUUUCUGGUGUUUCUUUUUUUUUUGGGGGGGGGGUGCACCUGUGGCAUGCAGAAAGAAGUUCCUGGGCUACUGAUUGAACCUUCACAACAGCAAUUACAACACUGGAUCCUUAAUUGCUAGGUCACCAGGGAACUCCUUCUGGUCUCUUAUUUAUUUAUGUUCUUCCUUGCAAUUUCCUUCCUUGUGCUACCUUAAGGCUGUUUGUUCUUUUUGUUGUUGUUGUUCCUGUAAGUGUAAAGUUAGGUUGUUUAUUUGAGAUCUUUCUUUUUUCUUAAUGUAGACAUUUAUCAUUGAAAAAUUUCCUCUUAGAACUGAUUUUACUGCAUCUCAUUAGCUUUGGUAUGUUUUAUUUUCCGUUUUCAUUUGUCUCAAGAUACUUUUUGACUCCUUCUUUGAUCCAUUGGUUGUUCAGGGGUGUGUUGUUUAGUGGGAUUGCCUCCAGGAUUGCAAUAAAACAAGACUGGAACUGAGUCAUGUGGCAACUGCUGGGUCCGCAGUGGUGUUUGUGAUUUUGCCAAGCCUUUUUUACCAUGAGCUUAGGUGGGCAUGGAUCCUGUUUGGUCUCUAAGUAGAUGACUCUAGGACCUUGGUCAGUAGGGCUGGUGCUGGGACAAGAGUCCACUUCAGGGUCUGUACUGGGUCUGCAGAGAGCUGGCCUGCUGUCAUGUACAGAUACAGGGGUGUCUUCUACCAGGUUUCUGGGAGAGAUCCUGCUGGAUAACUGGUCAGAUCCCUGAGCAUGCAGGAUUACUCUGGACCAUGGCUUAGAGGGGCCUGCCACUGGGGACAUGAAGGACCACGUCUCCUACAAGGUCCUUGGGUGGGCAAGACCUCUGCCAUCAGACCAAGGUUGAUGGGCCUCUCUCCAGGGUCCCUGACAGACAUGUCCCCCUUUGGGUCUCUGAGCAGGAUCAUUCCUGGCUGAGAGGGACUGGAGCUGGCUCACAAGUCACUUCAGGGUCUACAGCUGGGACUGAGGUUCGUGGGCCAGGUCUCCUCCUGUGUCCCUUGAUGGAUAAUGCUGUUGGCUGGCCCAAACUAGUCCAUAGGGAGAAGAGGCUCUUUCUGGGCAUAGUUGGGACCACAGUCAGUGGCCUGCUACCUGGGUGUGGGCCUGCCUUCUUAAAAUGGCCCUCCUUGGUCUUGGGCUCUACCAGGGUUUCACAACCUCCUACCUGAAUCUAAGGUUCCCACCAAGGCACUUUGUCUGAGGAUAAUUACCAAAUUUUUGUUGCUGUGGCAGAUACAGGUGGGGGACCUCUCCUUCAGCCAUCUUAAUGGCCUAUAACUUUAAAAAAAUUAAAAUGUGUUCUUAAAUUUUAAAAUUAGUAUAAAUUUAAAAUUAUUUAAAUUGGAAAACAUAGAAAAAUAGAAGUACAGUAUAAAGGCAUUUUAAACAUCGUUGGUCUUCUCCAGUUUUGUGGUUCUGGAAAGUUUAUCUUACACAGUGGUGACUAAAUGGCUAGUUAUAAUAUCCUGCUUUUAUACUUCACACUCUAAAUAAAAUAAAUGUAUAACACAAAUGUUUUUCCAUAGUAUAAUAAACUCCUUAUAAAUAUCACUUGAAAUGGCAAUGCCAUCAUUUACUUAACCAUUCCUCAAUAUUUUUAAUUACUUCCAAAUUUUGUAGAAAAUUUUAUUUUUAUAAAAUAUAUAACUGUUUGUAAUAAAAAUUAUAGGUAUUUUAACUAUUUCUGUAGGAUAAAUUCUCUAGAAAUGGAAUUUCUAAGUUAUAGGGUGUAAAUAUUUUAAGGCUUUUGAUAUAUAGUUCUAAAUUUAGCUUGCAAUAUUAAUGUCUUUCUUCAAUGGAAAAUUAUAGUAAAUUUCAUGGAUUUUUAACUGAACAUGAAUAAAAUUUUACUGCAAAAACACUUUGAGGUUUGAGGGAAGGGUAUUAGCUAACAUAUGUUAAAAGCUGAGUAAUUGGAACUAAUAAGAAAAGUCAGUUUGAAUUUGUGACUAAUUCUUAACUAUAGACUACUUUAAGACAAUGUGCUUUUAUUGUUGUAGUCCAUAAAAUAAUAUCUAGACUAAUGAAAAGUUUAUGGUACUCGGAGUCUUUGGCUCCCAGUCAGGCAGACUCAGCUUUAAAAUCACACUCCACCACCUACCACCUGACCUUGGGCAAGUUUCUUAACUUCUUUGCCUUAUUUUCUGCAUCUGUUCAAUGAAGAUAAUGUUUGUUCUUACUUCUUAGGGUAAUUGUGAGCCUUAAAUAAAAUCAUGUGUUCAGAGUGCCAAGUAUCUUUAUCUAUUAUUAAACAAGAAUAAUUUUCAACGGAAUUCCUAGUCAGUUAGAGUUUCUGCACCGAUAAACAGAUCAGUUAAAAAGUUUUAAAUAAAUAAACCUAUAAUCAAUGAAGUUUCUUCUGUAAAUGAGCUAACAUUUUCCAUGAAAUUAUAUUUGCUGUAUUACCAACUUUAUAUAUAUAUAUAAUUUAUAUAUGUGUGUGUAUAUAUAUGUAUAUAUGUUGUAUAUGUAAAAAAAGCAAGCCAUAAGAAAAGCCUUUGUAUAAUUAAUACAAACAGUGAUGGAUUCUGAGUUAAUUAAA
rnacentral:lncRNA from 1 species